ensembl:lncRNA
GUUCAAUGCUUGCUUCGACAUCACUGCCUGUUUAGCCCCGCCCAUGGAUUCGCACAUGUAGUUUUUCAACGAGAGAGGCGAACGUGCAGGUCUAUGCAGAAACCCAUAUUUUACCAAGGAUUUGUUUACAAACAAGGCACAAUUCGACAAGGGAUUUACAAAAGAUUAAAACUAAAAGGUGAUACUGUGCUGACUACAUUGGAUCCGACAGUAAUGUCGCAACACAAAAGUCAGCAUCCAUCUAUGAGGAAUGUACCCUGUCAAACAUACACAACUAUUAGCCAAUCAUAGCAGCGGGCGUUUACUUCCGAGUCUGCAAUCCACCACACUUAUUCAAACGGAGCGUUCUGAUGAGGGGGGUUAAAAACAGGACAAAAAACACACAAAAAACAGGCAGUUCAUGACCCCUUUAAGGUUUUAAUGUUAAUUAAAAUAAUAAUAAUAAAAAAGUUUUCAUUUAUAUGAAAACACGUCAUCACAGUCUGUGAAAAGGGCCCAUUCAAAGAAUUUCAAGUGAUUUGAGAAGGCGCUUGAAUUACAUGAAGUUCAGCAGCUGGUGUACUAUCAGCAGCAACGAGUAGCAGCCCUAUGGUGACCCCGCUUUAGGCCCGUCAUGCUGCUAAAUCGGACCUCUGAUUAGCUCCACGCCUCUGAAAUGACAGCUGUACUGGAUACAGAUCCGUUGCACUGGAAUGAAGGUCUGUUCCCCCCGAGGGGCUUCAGGUUGGGUGUGCAGCAACAUGGCAUUCUGUUCUUCAACUUGUACUCUUCAUUUCCCUCUCCCCAUCUUUAACCUGUCCUCCUGUCUCCGCCUCCAGUCUCUGUCCUUGGCAGAGCAGUGUGUGGUAAUCCUAUUACUCUUGUGCGAAAACCAGCUGAGAGAAAGAGAGGGAGAUGGAGAGAGAGGGAUUAUCAGUUCUCUGUUAUAGUGGUGAGCAGACAAAAAGCACUUUAAUCUAUGGAACAUGACCCUAAAGACUGAGAGAAGAAUACAGGGAGGAGAGAGGAGGGGCGCUAAAGGGAAAUGAUGGGACUCCUGACAGUUGGAGCGCCAAACUUGAAAAUAAAC